GUGUGUGUGUGUGUGUGUGUGUGUGUGGUCACUGUAGUGUAACAGAGGUUUUUGUACGAUGGCUUCAUUAUAAUGUAUGACUGUGGUUCACUUUCGAUGGAGGAACCAAACUGAUCAUCAAAACCGGUCCCGCGGUGAAGCCCUCCGUGUCUCUGCUCCCUCCCUCCUCUCUGCAGCUGUCUGAGGGAUCGGCCUCGCUGCUCUGCCUGCUGUCUGCCUACUCUCCACAGGGGGCGCUGGUGAGCUGGACAGUGGACGGCUCCCAGGUGAAGGACGGGGUUCUGACCAGCGCAGAAGAACAGAAGAAGGACGGUUACACACGCAGCAGCACCCUGACCCUCAGCAAAGCACUCUGGGAAAAGGGGGAGGAGUUUGUCUGUACGGUCUCCCAUGCCGGCGUCAAUCAUCCGGUCACGUUCAGAAAGAGCCAGUGUGAAGCCUAACAGCUCCAAGAUACAAUUUAACACUGAGCUGCUUACACAUCCAUCUACAAUAGAGUUUCAGUUCUACACAAUGCUGACAUUUCUGUCUUUACUCUCUUCACUGUCCUGUUGCUCUUCCUGUAGUUUUGCUCUGCUGAAAUAAAGCUUCCUUUUGGA